rnacentral:rRNA from 1 species
UACGGAAGGGGCAAGCGUUGUUCGGAAUCAUUGGGCGUAAAGGGCGCGUAGGUGGUUCUGUAUGUCUACCGUGAAAGCGUACGGCUCAACCGUAUUUUGUCGGUGGAAACUGCAGGACUUGAGGCUGGGAGGGGCUGGUGGAAUUCCCUGUGUAGCGGUGAAAUGCGUAGAGAGUGGGGGAGAACACUCGUGGCGAAGGCGGCCAGCUAGACCAGUUCUGACACUGAGGCGCGACAGCGUGGGGAGCAAACAGG